GUUCUUUUCCAACAAACUAAAAAUGGCUUGCGCACAAAAUUUAAAAGCUUUAAUCGUAUUUUGAGUUAAUGGAUGUAAAAUUUGUUCGGUUUUUAAUACAAAAUUUCAGACAAUUUGCUUUAGUUUAAGGCCUUUAACUAUUCAUUUUUUCCUAAAAUAUCAACGUUUUGCAUGCUUAAUUAAUGCCUUUACCUAAUUUGCAUAUUGCUGACAUAUUGCUGACAUAUUGCUGACAUCAUUGCUGAUUUUUUAGGAAAAAUGUAAAUUUGCGUCAAUAAUUGAAGGGCUUAAACUGAAGCAAAUUGUCUGAAAUUUCGUGCAGUAAUUAAACACCCAACACAUUUUUCAUCCAUAACUCAAAAUACGACUAUAGCUUUUAAAUCUCGUGCGCAAGCCAUUUUUAGUUUGUCGGAAAAGACGCACCCCCCUGGUUUACAAAAUUUGUGUUCGAGAAAUUUUUUUCAUUCUACAUUAUAAGUACCCAAAGAAGCCAUAUAUAUAAAAAAACUGGAUACUAAUAGCUGUUUUGCGAAAUUGAGAGCAAUUUCAAAUCUGUUCAGUUUUUUUAUACACCCUGUAUUACAUCAAUCAAAUUAAAUUGAA